UCCCUGGUAGUCCAGUGGCUAAGACUCCACACUUCCAGUUCGGGGAACCUAGGUUCAAUCCCUGGUCAAGGAA
rnacentral:tRNA from 1 species